rnacentral:rRNA from 1 species
CAUACGGGGGGACAAGUUGUGGCCCCCAGCAGCCCGCGGUAAUUCCGAGCCACCAAUAGUGUAUAUAAAAAGUUGUUGCAGUAAAAAAAGCUGAGUAGGAGUAUCUUCUUUUUAAUAAUUAUAUAAAAAUAUAUUUGUGAUGAAUAUUUAUAUAAUAUUAACAUAAUUCAUAUUACUAUAUAUUUUAGUAUAUGAAAUUUUACUUUGAGAAAAUUAGAGUGCUUAAAGCAGGCAUAUGCCUUGAAUACUCCAGCAUGGAAUAAUAUUAAAGAUUUUUAUCUUUUUUAUUGGUUCUAAGAUAAGAAUAAUGAUUAAUAGGGACAGUUGGGGGCAUUUGUAUUUAACAGUCAGAGGUGAAAUUCUUAGAUUUGUUAAAGACAAACUAAUGCGAGGGGCAUUUGCCAAGGAUGUUUUCAUUAAUCAAGAACGAAAGUUAGGGGAGCGGGACGCGCAGGUCCUGCGUGUCUUAACCCUUCGGAGGGGUCUCAUGGGGACUGG